CAGUCGCCGCGGGAAUACGAAGGGUGCAAGCGUUAAUCGGAAUUACUGGGCGUAAAGCGUGCGUAGGCGGUGAGUUAAGUCUGCUGUGAAAUCCCCGGGCUCAACCUGGGAAUGGCAGUGGAUACUGGUUCGCUAGAGUGUGUCAGAGGAUGGUGGAAUUCCCGGUGUAGCGGUGAAAUGCGUAGAGAUCGGGAGGAACAUCAGUGGCGAAGGCGGCCAUCUGGGACAACACUGACGCUGAGGCACGAAAGCGUGGGGAGCAAACAGGAUUAGAUACCCCCGUAGUCCCUGUCUCUUAUAC
rnacentral:rRNA from 1 species